ensembl:lncRNA
AGUUAGUGAAAAGGAAAGGAACAAAUCAAGACUUGAGCCAUGGACAACCUCUUGAUAUUUUCUAUUCCUCUGAGCCUGGGAAUUUUGCCAAUCCCAUCUCUGGCCCGACUGGAAAGGAAGGAAAAAUAAUUGUUGAGCUGCUCACUGAGUUACCAGGUUCAUCUGCUCCUGCUCUCAGACCCUGGCUUGUGCAACCAGAGAGUAUGUGGGAGUCUGCACAGGCAGGAGCUGUGCUGCAGCAGUUUGAGGUGAGGGAGACUUGAGUGAGAGCAGCAGAUCAGUGCCAGGAUUGUGCCUUAUAUGGCUGCUCGACGCCUGCAGUGCAUCUCUUGGUAUACAGCUUAUGGUAAAAGCCUUCAGGUUCUGUGUUCUUCCACAGCUGUAUAUCAACUGCUGUUUCUUGAGCUUUGCACACUGAGCUGUGCUGAGCGUGGGCCAAAAAGAAGUUGGUUGCUGGGAGUCACAGCUAUUGAACAGCCAGCCCUCAGACAUGCAAAAUGCUGCCAAAAUCCCUCCUGCGUCAGCGACUGCCUGAGGUGGCCAGUGCUAGCCAGGAGGCCUCCUCCAGUGGCUGGCUGCACGUCCCCAUGCAGGUGGCCAGUCUCUGCCAUUCCGGAGCAAGGAGGGCAGAGUGCUCACAAGAUGUGGUUCCCCAUGGAGAUAACAUGUUGCCAAGGUCAGGCUGCAUCUUAUAUCAGGCCCCUUGCAUCAGAUCACUUUGACUGAGAACAUGCUCCUGUUUGCAGGGAGAAAAUGUAAUCUGUAUCUGGACUGUGGUUAACGCUGAGCGCCAGGCUGUGAAUGCUGCCGGUGUACUGUUUGCUUUAAACACCACCUAUUUUUGUCUUCAGGGCUCCUUUUUUAACCUUUCCAGAAAAUGCUGCUGUUGGCCACUAUCCACUACUCUGCUUCUUUGGGGGCUCACCUAUAGUGAAUCACUCUCAGAGAAUGGCCCUGUGUUUAACUGCUGGACGCUGCUUUUCUGCAAGAAAGGAUUUGUAAGCUGCAAGUAUUUGCAGCUCUCCAAACCCACAAAAAUAAUGUUUGUCAGUGCUCUAGAGAUCAAUGUUUAAACCGGUCUAGUGCAAUCAGAAGGAUGUUUUGAUUUAUUAGUAAUGCAUUUUAAAAGCAAACAAAUUAGUUUAUAGAUACUUAUAUAAUUACACUCACACACACACACACAUAUAUAUACAUAUAUGAGAGAGAAUUAGAGAUGUAAAUAUGUUAGGCAACUUUGGUAUAAUUAAGUUAUGUCUUUGAAAAAAUUCGUCAUACAGUUGUGAUUGCAUGAGGUUCUCAUUGAAGAUUACUAUAAGCAGACAUUUUUAUAAAUAAUAUUUGAGGCCUCAAAUAAAACUUCUUUGUUUCCUGCCUCAAGCAUCUGCCAAAAUAUUUUUGAUUCUUGGGAGACUUGAAAAGUGGAAAGUUUUCUCCAGCCCUUUGGUUGUACUGCUACCAGACUGUGCAGUUGGAUUUGUUGCUUCUUGGUUCUCAAUCAUAUCUGAACCAUGUGCUUCCUUCUCAUCCAUUCUUGAGCCCUGCUCGUGCCAUGAACAGUGGGUGUUCGUACAUUUUUGUUACUACUGUAAGUUCUGCUAUAAAUUGUCCCUU